rnacentral:rRNA from 1 species
CCCUUAGACGUUCUGGACCGCACGCGCGCUACACUGACACAGGCAACGAGCUUUCCUUUACCGAAAGGUAUGGGUAAUCUUUUGAAACUGUGUCGUGCUGGGGAUAGAUCCUUGCAAUUUUUGAUCUUAAACGAGGAAUUCCUAGUAAGCGCGAGUCAUCAACUCGCGUUGAUUACGUCCCUGCCCUUUGUACACACCGCCCGUCGCUACUACCGAUUGAAUGGCUUAGUGAGGCCUCAGGAUCCGCGCUUAAUGUGUGGAGAAUUUGGACAAACUACGUCAUUUAGAGGAAGUAAAAGUCGUAACA